UAAAUUUCUUAGUUUUUUCUUCCUUUAAACCCAACACUUACAUCUCAUGAACACUCAGCAGCUACAGCUACAAGGGUUGUGAAUGGACUUAUGUUCAUUUGAUGAUCAUCCCAAUUUUGGCAUCUUAUUUGUCAAAGGUGAUGAUGAUUGAAUGAUCAUUUGUUGAGCAAACAGUUUAGGAAGGUGUUCAAGCUAAACUAUAGCUUUUUCCAUCAAACCUGUAACUGACACUACAAGGGUAGUGGCCAUCUUGUGGAAACUUCUCAGUUGAGUAAUUAACUUCAGGUUCUGCAGUGGGAUGUUCCAGUGUCCACUUCUGAUGAAUUUUUGGUGUAUUGGGUGUUUUAGUUCACUAACCUUUGUUCUUCUAGAUGUGUGACUUUUGCAGUGCUUGCAUGGUUUCUUAAUAUUCUUUUGUUCUGGUAGAAUGAUUAGCAGAUUUUUUGCAACAUAUAUUUCAACAUAUACAUCAUUUCAAAUGUUUUCACGGACAUGGUUGUUAUGAAUUAGCUAAUUUGCAUUCAUUGGGAUAGUUAUACCUUAUACCAAUGACAAUCUUUUUGUUUAAGAUCAGGAGAUAAACAACUAUGAGUUUAAUGUUUAUUUAAUCAAGAUAAUUAAUUAGGCAAUUAGAAAUGUCUAAUGGCUGCUCUUCUAUGAUAUUUUUGUGAGCGUUCAUGUGCAUAUAGAUAAUCAUCUCACUAUCAAAAUGACAAGCUAAUUUAAAAGCCGUGUUUCAAUAGAUUGUCAUAAUCACCUGAUGAAGACAAGGCUUGCAGAUUGAUAUUGGAUAAAUUUUGACAACUGUCAUUGAACUUAUCUAGUUGUAAUAUUACAGUCCCUCAACUUAAAAAUAUAACAUAAAACCACAUCAACUUUCAAAUUUUACACAG
rnacentral:misc_RNA from 1 species